CACGUAGGGGGCAAGCGUUGUCCGGAUUUAUUGGGCGUAAAGAGCUCGUAGGUGGUUCCGUAAGUCAGGUGUGAAACCUCCAGGCUCAACCUGGAGACGCCACUUGAUACUGCGGUGACUGGAGUCCGGUAGGGGAGCGUGGAAUUCCUGGUGUAGCGGUGAAAUGCGCAGAUAUCAGGAGGAACACCGGUGGCGAAGGCGGCUAUCUGGACAGAAACUGACGCUGAGGCGCGAAAGCUAGGGGAGCAAACAGG
rnacentral:rRNA from 1 species